AUACAAAGCACCUAGUAAUCAUGUCAAAAUGUAGAUUCUGAGUCAGUAGGUCUGAGUUUAGGGGUGAUUCACAGAUUUUGUAUUUCUAACAAGUUCCUGAGUGAUGUUAAU
rnacentral:miRNA from 1 species